rnacentral:lncRNA from 1 species
AUUGUAUUGUGAUAUGAUUGAUAAUCAAAUUUUGUACAUGUACUAUCAAAUAUCGAUAUGAUGUUAAUAUAUUAAUAAGAAUGUCGUGUGUUUAUACUACACAUUAUAUAUUUGUAUUUUACAAAAUAAUCUAUCGUUAAUUCCCAUCCGCAACAUGUUUCAGUGGGCGGAGUUUAAACGCACUUCUUAUUAAUUUUUUUUAAUAUAUUCACAGAGUCACUAAUUGACUAAGACUAUAAAAAUAGAUAAUCUGGUUAUCAUGCUUAUCGUAUUUAUAAUUUAACACGUAUGUUUGUACUAUUAUUGAAUGCUAUUAACUCCUACCCACUAAAACUUAAAUGUAUAAAAGAAGCCGAAACUUCAUGUAUCAGGCACUUUACUCGAAUGAAAAAAAUCUGAUGGUAAUCAUUAUUUUUUUAAUUUACUUUUAGAACAAAAUUCAUGAUAUAGGCCAUCUUUCUGCAGCUGUUUCCAGACAGAUAACAUGCGUUUCCCUUACUUUAAUAUUCGGUGAAGAUGAAAUGAAUAUCGAAUUUAAAGUAAGCGGCUAUGCAUUUUGUCAUUUCAACCACAUUAUUUUUCAAACGCAGGUAGAUUGUUGACACCGUUGAAAACAAUACAAGACGUUUAAUUAUUCCUUUUUUUAAACAAGAAAUAUUGUUAUGCAUUAUGCAUGUGUAUAGUCGUAUGUGUUUUAUUGUAAAGUCAUGGGAGUUGUGUCCCUUUGUAUAAUUAUAAAUAUUUGAAAUAUGAUGUUAUCUUUCUCUUUGGAAUAAACCUGCCAUUGCAAUAUACGUAUGUGUGUGUUGCUUUUUGGCAAAUAUAACUUUAGCGGCAUCGGGAGGCAAGUAUUUGUCCCUCAUGUGCGUGAUAUAUGGUAGAGGUGUACUUUAUGAGAACUGGUUUCCCGAAAGAUGAUAAAACAACUUCUGACAGUUUAUACAAAGAGGCUGACGGCGCCAUUAUAAAUUGACUACGUUACAAUCUUAGAACUUUCAUACAGCAAAGUAUAGUUCUAUAGCUACCAUGCAUUUGACAUCGGACCAGACUUUUGGAUCAUUGUGUAACUUUGGAUGUUCAGGAUGAUUAAGCAAAUUUUAUCUUGGGAGUUUUUCGUCACAAUAACUACAAAAAGUUUUUUCGCAAUUGUUAAUUGUCAUCUGAAUUUUAAAUUUUCUUUGAUCUACACAUACAAUCAAACUUUUUGACCGCAUUGAAGUUGAACAUCGAGAAAAAAAACAGCUGUGUGUGUUUAUGUGUGCAGAAAAACUGUAAUAUGUGUCAUGUAACAUCCAUAUCAUCUUACUUCGAAAAUAUUUCCUUAGUAAUUGGCCUUGGAACUAAUCGGCUUGACCUUUAUAGUGUAUUAAAGAUUUAGCAGUAACAAUCUGUAGCAGUUGCGAACGACUGAUAAAUUCUACUACAGACGGUACGUGUGAGAUUGAUCGCGUCGUACACUACCAAAUUACAAGGAUACGAA